AGUGCAUGCGGCGGAUGCCUUGGCGAUCACAGGCGAAGAAAGACGCGGCAGCCUGCGAAAAGCUGCGGGGAGCUGGCAAACGAGCUUUGAUCCGCAGAUAUCUGAAUGGGGGAACCCACACCGCAAGGUGUAUCCGUAGCUCAAUACAUAGGUUACGGAGGCGAACGAGGAGAACUGAAACAUCUAAGUAUCCUCAGGAAAAGAAAUCAACCGAGAUUCCGGCAGUAGCGGCGAGCGAACCCGGAGGAGCCCAGCUUUUGAUAGUACGAACUUUAGCCGAAAGGUCCUGGAAAGGCCUGCUAUAGUGGGUGAUAGCCCCGUAGGCGAAAGAGUUGGUACGGUACUAAGGAAGCGAGAAGUAGAGCGGGACACGUGGAAUCCUGUUCGAAGACGGGGGGACCAUCCUCCAAGGCUAAAUACUCGUGAUCGACCGAUAGUGAACCAGUACCGUGAGGGAAAGGCGAAAAGAACCCCGGGAGGGGAGUGAAAUAGAACCUGAAACCGCAUGCAUACAAACAGUAGGAGCCUCGUCAGAGGUGACUGCGUACCUUUUGCAUAAUGGGUCAGCGACUUACAUUCUGUGGCGAGCUUAACCGAAUAGGGGAGGCGCAGCGAAAGCGAGUUCGAAAUGAGCGUUCAGUCGCAGGGUGUAGACCCGAAACCAGAUGAGCUAUCCAUGGCCAGGUUGAAGGUGUGGUAACACACACUGGAGGACCGAACCGACUAGUGUUGCAAAAUUAGCGGAUGAGCUGUGGAUAGGGGUGAAAGGCCAAACAAAUCUGGAGAUAGCUGGUUCUCCCCGAAAACUAUUGAGGUAGUGCCUCGUGUGUCGCUCCAGGGGGUAGAGCACUGUUUUGGCUAGGGGGACAUGGAGUCUUACCAAACCAAGGCAAACUCCGAAUACCUGGAAGCGUAAGCACGGGAGACAGAGCACCGGGUGCUAACGUCCGGACUCAAAAGGGAAACAACCCAGACCGCCGGCUAAGGUCCCAAAUAACAGCUAAGUGGAAAACGAAGUGGAAAGGCCGUGACAACCAGGAAGUUGGCUUAGAAGCAGCCAUCCUUCAAAGAAAGCGUAAUAGCUCACUGGUCGAGUCCUUCUGCGCGGAAGAUGUAACGGGGCUAAGCUGUUAACCGAAGCCGCGGAUGCGCUGGUUAUCCAGUGCGUGGUAGGGGAGCGUUCUGUAAGUCUGCGAAGGCGGUUCGAGAGGACUGCUGGAGAUAUCAGAAGUGCGAAUGCUGACAUGAGUAACGUUAAAGCAGGUGAAAAGCCUGCUCGCCGUAAGCCCAAGGAUUCCUGCUCUACGUUCAUCGGAGCAGGGUGAGUCGGCUCCUAAGGUCAGGCCGAAAGGCGUAGCCGAUGGGAAUCAGGUUAAUAUUCCUGAACCUGCGUCAGAUGCGAUGGGGGGACGGAGCAUGGAAGAUCAUCCGGGUGUUGGAAGUCCCGGUUGUUUAGCGUAGGAGGUCUGCAGGCAAAUCCGCAGACGCAUCUCCAAGGCAAAGACACGUGCCGCCACGGCGGCGAAGUGAUCGGAAGUGCUUCCAAGAAAAGCCUCUAAGCACCAGUCUGAUGCGGACCGUACCGCAAACCGACACUGGUGGGCGAGCUGAAUAUGCUCAGGCGCUUGAGAGAACUCGGGAGAAGGAACUCGGCAAAUUGACACCGUAACUUCGGAAGAAGGUGUGCCGUAGUACCGUGAGAGGAGAGACACCUUGAGCGGGAAACGGUCUCAGAGAAUAGGUGGCUGCGACUGUUUAUUAAAAACACAGCACUCUGCAAAGUCGAAAGACGACGUAUAGGGUGUGAUGCCUGCCCGGUGCUGGAAGAUUAAUUGAUGGGGUGAGAGCCCUUGAUCGAAGUCCCAGUAAACGGCGGCCGUAACUAUAACGGUCCUAAGGUAGCGAAAUUCCUUGUCGGGUAAGUUCCGACCUGCACGAAUGGCAUAACGAUGGCCACACUGUCUCCUCCCGAGACUCAGUGAAGUUGAAAUGUUUGUGAUGAUGCAAUCUACCCGCGGCUAGACGGAAAGACCCCAUGAACCUUUACUGCAGCUUUGCAUUGAACUGUGAACCGAUUUGUGUAGGAUAGGUGGGAGGCAGAGAAGAGGCCACGCCAGUGGUCUUGGAGCCGACCUUGAAAUACCACCCUGAUUUGUUUGCGGUUCUAACCACGGACAGUGAUCCUGUCUUGGGACCGUGCAUGGUAGGCAGUUUGACUGGGGCGGUCUCCUCCUAAAGGGUAACGGAGGAGUACGAAGGUACGCUAGGUACGGUCGGAAAUCGUGCUGAUAGUGCAAUGGCAAAAGCGUGCUUGACUGCGAGAGCAACAACUCGAGCAGAUGCGAAAGCAGGUCAUAGUGAUCCGGUGGCUCUGAAUGGAAGGGCCAUCGCUCAACGGAUAAAAGGUACUCUGGGGAUAACAGGCUGAUACCGCCCAAGAGUUCAUAUCGA
rnacentral:rRNA from 1 species